UACGUAGGGGGCGAGCGUUGUCCGGAGUUACUGGGCGUAAAGGGCAUGCAGGCGGUCGGACGCGUUUCGGGUGACAGCGGGUGGCUUAACUACCCGAGUGGUCGAAAGACGGUUUGACUUGAGGACGCGAGAGGGACACGGAAUUCCGGGUGGAGUGGUGAAAUGCGUAGAGAGUCCGGAGGAACACCGAAGGCGAAGGCAGUGUCCUGGCGCGUAACUGACGCUGAGGUGCGAAAGCCAGGGGAGCGAACGGGG
rnacentral:rRNA from 1 species